UCCGUGGACCACCGCCAGGUCAAUUUCUCAGCUCAAAACCCUUCCACUCGAUCCCACUCGAACGAUCCCAUCAUUACCGGAGUAACAUCUUGAGGACGGGAAUCGAUUCGUCUACCCGACGAAAGCUCUUCUCCUGGCCCCGCGACCUCGAACUCGCUGCAGAUCUCACUCGGUCUCGUCCUUUUUUCCCCGUUUUUGGAAGACCUCGUUGUUGGUUUUGCUUCUUGUAAUUUUUGAAGGAGGAUUUGGAGCUUCUAUCUGGCCGUGGGCCUGGUUGGACUGGUUUGGAGGGCGGGAGGAGAGGAAGGGGGCAGGAUGGCGUCGGGGAGGAUAGGAGGUCCUUCAGCGCCGCCCGUCCGGCGUGAUCCCUACGAGGUACUCUGCGUGUCGAAGGAUUCGUCCGAUCAGGAUAUCAAAGCCGCGUACCGGAAGCUUGCUCUCAAGUACCAUCCCGAUAAAAAUGCUAGCAAUCCUGAAGCAUCUGAACUUUUUAAAGAAGUUGCAUAUUCCUAUAGUAUCUUGUCAGAUCCAGAAAAGAGGAGGCAAUAUGAUGCUGCUGGCUUUGAGGCUUUUGAAAGUGAAGGCAUUGAUAUGGAGAUUGACUUGUCAAGCCUUGGAACUGUCAAUACAAUGUUUGCAGCUCUUUUUAGCAAGCUGGGAGUUCCUAUCAAGACUACAAUUUCUGCCACUGUUCUUGAAGAAGCUUUAAGUGGAACUGUCACAGUUAAACCACUUCCUCUUGGAACAUCAGUCACCGAAAAAGUGGAUAAGCAAAGUGCUCAUUUUUUUGGUGUAACAAUUAAUGAUCAACAAGCUCAGGCAGGGAUUGUUGUUCGAGUAACUUCGGCAAUACAAAGUAAAUUUAAGCUACUUUACUUUGAGCAGGAAGCUAAUGGUGGCUAUGAUUUAGCAUUACAGGAAGAUAGUGAAAAGAUUGGCAAAGUAACAUCUGCAGCGAUGUACUUUUUACAUUUUCAAGUGUAUCGGAUGGACUCUGUAGUUAAUACGUUAGCCAUGGCGAGAGAUCCUGAGGCUGCUUUCUUCAAAAGGUUGGAAGGCCUCCAACCUUGUGAGGCCUCUGAACUAAAACCUGGCACCCACAUAUUCGCCGUUUAUGGUGAUAAUUUUUUCAAAUCUGCUACAUAUACCAUUGAGGCUUUGUGUGCAAAAUCAUAUGAGGAUACCACAGAGAAACUUAAGGAGAUUGAGUCUAAAAUUUUAGCAAAAAGAGAUGCCUUGCGGCAAUUUGAAAUAGAAUACAGAAAAGCACUUGCAUGUUUUCAGGAGGUCACAAACAAGUAUACCCAAGAAAAGCAAUCUGUCGACGAGCUGUUGAAACAAAGAGAUAAUAUACUCUCCUCAUUUACGAUACAUAGAAGUGUGAUCAAUUCUAGUGGUGAUGCUAAUAGUAGUUGCAAAACUCCUGAUGAGGAUAUCAGAUUUGGCAGCCCAAAUGGAAGUCUUGAUGUGAAAAAUAAAUUGAACAAAAAAAAAUGGUUUAAUCUCAAUCUUAACCAUUCUGAUAGGAAGGGCUGAUCAGCUCUACUGUGAAAUGAUGUGUUAUAUUGAGAGUCUUAUGCUAGGAGAAAGUUGCCAGUUUUUCAUUGUUUGCCAUACAUGCAUGUUUGGUGGGGAUGAUCGGCAUGCCAUAUUCAAAAGGCAAAAGACAUAUCUGGCUGCGAUGAUAUAUCCUAAGGUUAUUUAUGUGAUGUUUUUGAAAUCUGUAAGAGGCUCCAAGACAAAACCUUGAUCCCAGGAUUAUCUUUGUGGGCCCUGAUGUCCCUGUUGCCAUCGUAUUGGUGGGCCAUCUCCCAUCUCCAUCGCCACCCGACUGGGAGUUGGGGAUGGGUUAUAGAGAGCCUACACAGCUAUUAAUGGCCCCCUUGCGUAUCUUGCCUUUAUAGAUAUGUCUCUUUGGUGGCCGUCUUCAGAGAAAGCUACUCAACCCAACCUGGGUGGUGCAAGUUGCUUAUUUCACAAGAGAAAGGCGAGGCCAUGUCCUUCUCUUACCAGUCAUGGAAACGUGAAGGGGUUGGGUGUGGACUGGAGAAGCCUCACCUAGAAAAAGACCAGCAAAAGAAUAUGGACACUCCUCCCACCACCACCAUCAUCUGAUGUUUGAAUCGCUGAAACUUAUUCUCUUGAUGAUGCAGGUUUGUGAAAGUUGGUUGGAACACAUUUCUUGGUGGGUUUAAGUCAAGAAACACCGCAGAGGAUCCAUGGUGAAGUGUUUAGUACUUUCUCCAGAUGCCUGGCCUAUCAAAAGCUAAAGGUUGUCAAGUGGAUCCAGAAAUUAAUAGGUGUGGGAAAAGCAACCUAGUUUUGACUAAAAUGUUUGGCACAAUACAAGGUAAAAAGUUAAAGACCAAACUUGUUGGAAUGCAUGCGACUCUGUACUCUACUGAACUUUGCUUAAUAUAUAGCUGGAGUAGUCAUCUAGCGGCUGUCAUGAUUGAAACCAUGGAAUAUGGCUACGGACCCAUCAAUGCCCCUUGAAGCUGGCCACUCCAGCACUGUGGAGUCUUCACCAUCAAACUCUUCCGUCAUCCCUCUUUCUGAUGUCAGACUUGCACAAGAUAUGCAUCAGUAUCUUGCAGGCAAAAGAAUAACAGGAAGAUCUUGUAGGUUGAAAGGUCUAUAUCAAGGGAAGGUGAUGAUGGCAUGAAGCUGGACUACAUCAGUUCUUAUCUCCAAAGGUAAUUCUGCCAAGACCUUUUAAAUCCUACCUUUAUAGUUCAUAUACACAUAACUAUCCAUAUAUAUGCUACAGAUGCUAUUGCUGUCAACUUAGGCCCAUGAAAUCACCUGAGGCCAAUUAUAGGUGCUUUAUCUAUAUAAACACCUCGUGAUACACAUUAUGCUGCAUGGGUGCUCUGUUAUUGUCACUGAAAUGUUAAAAGUCUUCACCAAACAAUCCAGACGUAGCUUUUUCUUGAA